rnacentral:lncRNA from 1 species
GGGGUGGUUUGGGAGCAGCAGGGCUUUGUGAUAACCCCAAAGACCCCUCCUCUUUCCACCCCCUGCUGCCUCCUCCCUUCCCGCGGGUGUUCCGCAUUAUGGAGCAAGCCAAGAGGAAGUCCACCAGACGGCUCCGGAGGAUGUCUUCCUGAGCCUCACCUGCCCGAGGCCCCCCACCCGAAGGGAAAGCAGACAAGGACAAGCAAAACCAGCAGGCUCCCGGCCCCCCUCUCCUCCUUCGGCUCCAUUUCCCUCCCAGCACUCCUCCCAGCCUCCCACCCCACCCCGCUCUGGGCCUCCCUCCCAGCAUCCCUCACGGCUCCCCUCAAAGUCUGCCUUGCUGUAAGAAAGAGCUGUGGUGCCAGGUUAGCACAGGUGCGCACAGCCUGCCCUGGGCUGCAGGGGGUACGGGGCUGGAGGGGUGGGUGUGGCUCUCUGCAGAUUGAGGCCACUCACCUUCGAGACCUGCCGGAGAACCCCCGUGUGUUUCUGUGGAGAAGGGUCCCCUGGAGUCCCGCCUGGGUGGCCCGUGGUCUCAUUGAGCCCUGGCCAUGGAAGCAGCCUCAGAGGAACACCUGCCAUGUCCUGUCAAGGAGAAGCCCUGUGGGUGACCGAAGCGGUGAUGAAGCUGUACUUAUGAAGGUUCCAGGAAGGCCACAACGACCGUCCCUGCCCCCACGCCCUGCCUCCGCUCACAGCAGCGCAGCAUCACGGUGUGGUCGUGUCCCUGGCUGCCACACCCACUCCAUCUGUUUUCCGUGUGGCUGCUCUGAGGCAUCUGCCAGCGUCCUCUGCCCCCCGCUCCCCACCCACUGAGCCUGGUUCUCCCUGUCCCCCGGGACCCUGGUCUGCCUCUUCCAAAGGCUCCUCUUCCUUCUCCCUGCCUGGUGGGUCCCUCAGCCCCAAGCCCGCCUCUCUCCCUCACUCUCCCCUCUGCACCUGCCACCCUUGGGUUUCUCUCUCAUUCACCCCCCCCCGGCUUUCAACUGGCAUCUUAUUCCAGCCAGGAACUGCCCUGAGCUCCCAACAAUCUAGACUUUUCCAAUGAGUUCUCUCACCCUCCUGAAGCCCAAAGGGAAAUGGGAUCUUCUCCCACCCUCUGGACACAGCUCGUCAGCCCACCAGCUCUGGGGGCUCUUACUGCCAGGGUGGUAGGCAAGGGAAGGCAUGGCUGCAGCAUUGUCAAGAGAAGAACACCUAUUUCCUGAAAAAUAGAAAACUUUGGGAGUUCCCGUCAUGCUUUAGCAGAAACAAAUCUCACUAGUAUCCAUGAGGAUGCAGGUUCGAUCCGUGGCCUGGCUCAGUGGGUUAAGAAUCCUGCAAUGCUGUGGCUGUGGUGUAGGCGGCAGACACAGCUCGGAUCCCUGCAUUGCUGUGGCUGUGGUGUAGGCCGGUGACUACAGCUCCGAUUGGAGCUCCAAUUCGACGCCUAGCCUGGGAACCUCCAUAGGAUGGGUGUGGCCCUAAAAAAAAAAAGAAAACUUUGUAAAUAAAUACAAGUGAUAAAGACAUGUAGGCCAGGGAGUUCCCGUCGUGGUGCAGUGGUUAACGAAUCUGACCAGGAACCAUGAGGUUGCGGGUUCGAUCCCUGCGCUUUCUCAGUGGGUUAACGAUCCGGCGUUGCUGUGAGCUGUGGUGUAGGUUGCAGACGCGGCUCGGAUCCCGCGUUGCUGUGGCUCUGGCGUAGGCUGGUGGCUACAGCUCCGAUUGGACCCGUAGCCUGGGAACCUCCACAUACCGCGGGAGCAGCCCAAGUAAAAUGGC